AAGACUACGAAUAACAAGCCCAAUUACUUAGAGUAUCUGCAUGGUGAAUUCUGUAGAGAAUACGGGAUUGACACAAAGUCGUUCUGGAGUAGUGCAGGGAGCAUCGCCAGAGACUGAGUGAGUCAGCAUUUGGGCGGAGGGGUUACCAUCAUUCAUUGAACUUUACACAGCAAAAUACAAGCUGGGAUAACAACUUUUAAUCAUUCACUAGAAUACCAGCAACAUGGGAAACACUGCUGGCAAGGGAGAUUUUUACCCUUCAGCAUCUCAUCUGUUCCAGACACCUCCCACCUCCCCUACAGCACCAGCCCCAGCCAGACUGCCCUCUGCCUCUUUUCCUCCAAUGCUGGAGGCACAAUCAUUUGCUGCUGCAGCAAUAGAUAGCGGUUACGCCCCAUCCUGUUUACCACAGAAGGAAUCCACAGCUAUGGAAAAGGCUGCAUCUGCAGCUGGGAAAGAGUGUAUGGGUUGGGGGGCAAAAGCAGAGGUGGAGGUAGUACAGGAGAUGGGCUUCACUCUGAUUAGACUGCUAGAGCAACAUCGAGCGUCUCUGGGGUUGAGCU